rnacentral:rRNA from 1 species
AGAGUUUGAUCCUGGCUCAGGAUGAACGUUAGCGACAGGCUUAACACAUGCAAGUCGAGGGGCAGCGGGGGAGUAAGCUUGCUUACUUCUGCCGGCGACCGGCGCACGGGUGAGUAACACGUAUGCAACCUGCCCGUCACAGGGGGAUAAUCGGAAGAAAUUCCGUCUAAUACCGCGUGACAACACCGAGAGGCAUCUUUUGGUGUUCAAAGGGAGCAAUUCCGGUGACGGAUGGGCAUGCGUCGCAUUAGCUAGUCGGCGGGGUAACGGCCCACCGAGGCGACGAUGCGUAGGGGUUCUGAGAGGAAGGCCCCCCACACUGGUACUGAGACACGGACCAGACUCCUACGGGAGGCAGCAGUGAGGAAUAUUGGUCAAUGGGCUAAGGCCUGAACCAGCCAAGUCGCGUGAGGGAAGACGGUCCUAUGGAUUGUAAACCUCUUUUGUCGGAGAGCAACGAGGCCACGUGUGGCCGAAGUGAGAGUACCCGAAGAAAAAGCAUCGGCUAACUCCGUG